ACAAUGGAGGUCACACAGCAGCGACACCUCUGACCUCCGACAGGGCCAGCCUGACACCAGGCGCCCACGCCAGGUGCGCGGCUGACGCCGCCCUCCCGCCAGUGAAGAGUAGAGGCCUCGACAGUCCCCAGCCUCCCCAACAUCUUCUACUUUUCAAGGCGCGAGUCUGCGGCCUGGACAAGCCCGACAGCCACUCACGUGUAGGACUCAGGCCCCGCCCUUGGAGCCCCUCGCCGCGCACUUCUCCCGGGUCCUCACCUCCAGUCUGGUCGAAUCCGCCCCAAGCCGGUGUCAGGCCGCCCGGAAUCCCCGACCCCUCACGCCCGAACUCCCGCCAACUCACCACCCGCCAGCCAACUUCGGCCGGAAGUGGCAAAUGCCGCAGAGACCCCAGGAAAAUGUAGUCCAGGGCAGGAAACAUGCAGCCCCUCUGCCAAGCGUCGCCUCGCGUUCCUAGGCUUCAGCGAAGGCCAGUACCGACAGCCCGGCCUCGCCUGAGCAUCCUGAGGACCGGGGCGAGCGACAGGUCCAAGCAGCGAGAGCAGGCUGCUGAGGAGUAAAAAAAAGUGGACCGUGGAGGCUCCUGGGAAACGUAGCCCACCGUGGAGGAAAGGGGGGGCGGGUCGGCCACCUGUACAUCCCGAGCCCUCAAAGUUGACCCGUGUGCAACAGCCCUCGCUCCAAACCGGGAAGUGCUCAGAGGCCUCUAGGAACGGCAGUUAAAAGCUGAAAAGCAGACAGUCCAGAGUCCUUCUCCACAAGGAGCCACCGCGCUCUGAGAGCGGGAUCAGGAGCAGACGACUCCCGGCUACACCAAGAACUAAUUGGCCUCCUGGACCCGGGCUGUUCAGCCCGUCCCACGAUCCUUCCUGGUCGAGUUUGCGUGUUCAGGUUUCGGCUGAGAAUUCGUUCCCAGUUCCCGGCGCCCCCCCAAAGCGCAGCACUCCCUUAGUCGGUAACCCUCCUGUGCAGCAGCCAAGUGUCCCUGCAGACACAUUUGAAGCAGGCUCCCCUAUGGGGCGCCCGGUGCAGGACUGGAUCCUAGGACCCCAGGAUCAUGCCCUGAGCCGAAGGCAGAUGCUCAACUACUGAGCCACCCAGGUGCCUGGGAAUGACACUUUAUAAGAGACUCAAGAUUUUAUUUAUUUAGAGAAAGAGCACGUGCGAGCAGGGACAGGGGCAGAAGGAGAGGGAGAGAGAGAAUCUCAAGCAGGCUCUGCACCAAGUGGGGAACCCUAUGGGGGGCCAAUCCCAUGACCCUGAGAUCUUGACUGAAGCCAAAAUCAAGCAUCGGAAGCCCAACUGACUGAGCCACCCAGUUGGACUGUUUCCAUUUUUUGGCUAUUCUGAAUAUGCUGCUAUGAACACUGGUGUACAAGGAUCAAUUUGAGCCCCUGGUUUCGAUUCUUCUGGAUGUCUACUUAGGUACAGAAAUGCAGAAACAUAUGGUAAUUAGAAGUUUAACUUAUUGAGGAACUGCCAAACUGUCUUCCUCAGCAGCUAUACAAUUUUACCUUCUAACCAACAAUGCACAAGGUUUCCAAUUUCUUUCUUUUUUUUUUUUUUAGGUUUCCAAUUUCUGCACAUCCUCAUCAAACACAGGUUUUGUUACGUAGAUAACACAUGAAUUUUGAAAACUAUUUUUGAAAAUAAAAGUCUACAAAAAUUAGAUGUGUUGGCAAAAUUGGACUUAGCAUAAAACCUAUUAAAGAAUACGCUAUGAAAUGACAAUACUCAUUUAGAUACUUAAGUUU